GCCAUAAUUUACAGUGCAACUGCUGCAUUGCCUUCUGGCACUAUUGUGGUAAUAUUCCUUAUAUGGACAUUGGUAACGUCUCCAUUACUUGUAUUGGGUGGCAUUGCUGGCAAAAAUAGCAAGGCUGAGUUUCAAGCCCCUUGUCGCACCACAAAAUAUCCUCGGGAGAUUCCAAUAAAAUUGCCAUGGUACCGGAGUGCUCUUCCUCAGAUGGCAAUGGCAGGUUUUCUG
rnacentral:misc_RNA from 1 species